rnacentral:rRNA from 1 species
CGCCCUUAGAGUUUGAUCCUGGCUCAGGACGAACGCUGGCGGCGUGCCUAACACAUGCAAGUCGAACGGAACUGUUUUGAAAGAUUUCUUCGGAAUGAAUUUGAUUUAGUUUAGUGGCGGACGGGUGAGUAACGCGUGAGUAACCUGCCUUCAAGAGGGGGAUAACAUUCUGAAAAGAAUGCUAAUACCGCAUGACAUAUCGGAACCACAUGGUUUUGAUAUCAAAGAUUUUAUCGCUUGAAGAUGGACUCGCGUCCGAUUAGUUAGUUGGUGAGGUAACGGCUCACCAAGACCGCGAUCGGUAGCCGGACUGAGAGGUUGAACGGCCACAUUGGGACUGAGACACGGCCCAGACUCCUACGGGAGGCAGCAGUGGGGGAUAUUGCGCAAUGGGGGCAACCCUGACGCAGCAACGCCGCGUGAAGGAUGAAGGUUUUCGGAUUGUAAACUUCUUUUAUUAAGGACGAAACUUGACGGUACUUAAUGAAUAAGCUCCGGCUAACUACGUGCCAGCAGCCGCGGUAAUACGUAGGGAGCAAGCGUUGUCCGGAUUUACUGGGUGUAAAGGGUGCGUAGGCGGCUUUGCAAGUCAGAUGUGAAAUCUAUGGGCUCAACCCAUAAACUGCAUUUGAAACUGUAGAGCUUGAGUGAAGUAGAGGCAGGCGGAAUUCCCCGUGUAGCGGUGAAAUGCGUAGAGAUGGGGAGGAACACCAGUGGCGAAGGCGGCCUGCUGGGCUUUAACUGACGCUGAGGCACGAAAGCGUGGGUAGCAAACAGGAUUAGAUACCCUGGUAGUCCACGCUGUAAACGAUGAUUACUAGGUGUGGGGGGUCUGACCCCUUCCGUGCCGGAGUUAACACAAUAAGUAAUCCACCUGGGGAGUACGGCCGCAAGGUUGAAACUCAAAGGA